rnacentral:rRNA from 1 species
GCUGGCGGCAUGCUUAACACAUGCAAGUCGAACGUGAAAGCACUUCGGUGUGAGUAGAGUGGCGGACGGGUGAGUAACGCGUGGGAAUCUACCCAGUAGUGGGGGACAACUACCGGAAACGGUAGCUAAUACCGCAUACGCCCUAUGGGGGAAAGGCUUCGGCCGCUAUUGGAUGAGCCCGCGUCAGAUUAGCUAGUUGGUAGGGUAAAGGCCUACCAAGGCAACGAUCUGUAGCUGGUCUGAGAGGACGAACAGCCACACUGGGACUGAGACACGGCCCAGACUCCUACGGGAGGCAGCAGUGGGGAAUAUUGGACAAUGGGCGAAAGCCUGAUCCAGCAAUGCCGCGUGUGUGAAGAAGGCCUGCGGGUUGUAAAGCACUUUCAGUUGGGAAGAUGAUGACGUUACCAACUGAAGAAGCACCGGCUAAAUCCGUGCCAGCAGCCGCGGUAAUACGGAUGGUGCGAGCGUUAAUCGGAAUUACUGGGCGUAAAGCGCGCGUAGGCGGCUAAGUCAGUCA